UGGCUCAGAGGUUAAAGUGUCUGCCUGGAAUGCAGGAGACCCAGGUUCAAUCCCUGG
rnacentral:tRNA from 1 species